UGUUUGUGUGAGCCACCCUCCUAUCACUUCCACAUGUUCACCAGCCUGGAAGCUCUCCAAACCCCUAGUUUAGGGGGUUUUAUGGAGGUUUCAUUAGGUAGACAUGAUUCAUGAUUCACCGUCUCCUGGAGUUCUUGCCAGGGUGUUAUUAAUAAUUUCUGUAACCCAGAAAAUUAUCAUUUUUUUCUGGCCCCCUUCAACAAUCUGAUGUGUUUCCCCCCAGUUGCUGAAGAUAUCUGCUGGCUAGGUCUUGUAGCUUCUUUAGUGUAUAGUCCAUUUUUUAUCUCAUUAAGACCAGCACUCAUCAGGUGGGCUUUGUUGUAACAAUGCUAAUUAUUGAUCAAAUGCCCAGGAAGGAGGGUAGAGUAGAUUCCAAGGAAGACACAUGCUGGCUGGAGGGAGUCUUCUGCUUCAUCUCAAAUCCCUGGCAACAAGAGAAUUCUGAUUCUUAUGAAAAAGUGGUGGGCCAAUUAUACAGGCCCAAAGGGUUUAGGGAAAUCUGAGACUCAAGAUUUUCAGGUGCAUAAAUCUAAAUAUUCCCAUCCAAUAUAUUAAGAUUCUUUUCUCACCAGAGAACUCAAUGGCAGAGGAGACCUGCCUCAACUGGGAGUUUAAACUCAGUCAUUCAAGCUCUCAGCCAAGUUCUCAAUUUUUUUUACCCUACCCCCAAAGGUUAGAACCUCCUUGUGUGACUCCAUAUAAGCUCUCUACAUAAUCUUAGUUUUUCAUAAUCUGUAUUCAGGGCAUCAGUUAGGCUUAGCAAUAGACGCUCAAUUUUUUGUUGUUUUUUUUCUAUUUCACCCAUAUUCCUCAAAUGCCUGAUAUAUGGAACCAACUAGUGGAUUCCCUUAUACUGCUAUACCAACCCGAUGUACCACCAGUAAAACCUUUGACAACUGGACAGUUGUAGCAGGGCUCUCUGUGCUUCACCUACUACCAGGGAUGGUGUCUUCAUUGUUGGCAAAGUAGCAGGUAAUCUGGCUCCAAAACUCCAUUUGAGCACUUGUUUUCUUAAACCGCUCUUGGUAUCAACUUUACAGGUUGGGUUUCCUGGAAAACAGAUCCUUGGAAGUGUUAUCACCCAUCUUAGAGCCUUCAUCUGUUUUCCCCAUGCAGAAAAGAGAGCAUGUAUUACUGAGUUUUCUUUUAAGGCAUCCAGCUACAAUGACCAAAAUGUUUCCAGCUUGCAAGUGUAUCUGAAUCAUGGUCAUUAGUUUAUGCUUACUUUUUUCCAAAGGUCUUUAUUGUCACAACAUGC
rnacentral:lncRNA from 10 species